rnacentral:lncRNA from 10 species
CAAAACUCCAAACAGAAAGGCUUGGCUCUGAGAGAGCCAGAUCCCAAGUGCCCCAGGGUUGUAAUGAGUCUCCUCGCAUUAUUGAACAAACACCUCUAAGUCACCUUUUGCUGGAGGAAGCUUGGUCCUUACAGGAGGGCCUUAGAUUGGGCCCUGAUAAGGCAGCACAUCCUGUCUGCCUCCCUGUCCACACCCUCACAGCUGAGCCUGCUGCGGUUGCUGCUGACUUCAAAGGCACUGCUUCCCUUGGAUCCACAUCAAGGACUGGAAUGAGAAAAGGGUCCCCUGACCUUCUUAUAUCUCUUCAAUUCUGCCCAAGAGAUUUGGCCUGAAAAGAUUGUGCCUUCAACCUCAUCCUGGAAAUUCAGAUGGCACUGGCUGAGGCAGAAUGAAUACAGCUGCUGAUUCUGAUCUCACACUGGGUAUAUCCCUGAGUGCUGGAAAAAACAUCACCCUCAGAAGUGUGCAUUCAGCCAGCUGCCUUUGGAGAGAGCUGGGAAGGGUGCAAAGUGGCAUGUCCUUUACCAGUCACUCUUUCUGGGCCAAUGCUUAUCCAGAAAUGAGACAGAACUAUGGGUUUACUGCAAAUGACCAGCAUCCGCAAAGUGAUCAAGACUACCAACUUUGGUGUUCACUCUGCAAUGAAAAAAUGAACCAGCAGAAGGUGAAUGUGAAAGACUAAGAAGAGCCCUGCAGAAAACCCGUUAGCCCAUGUUUUCAUCUGUAAUGUGGAUGUGGGAUAGGAAGAGGGACAACGACAUAGUACCGACCAGGUUCCAGAAACUAUUCCAAGUGCUUUACGUGAUAAAAAUCUCUUAAUUGUCUCAACGACCAUACGAAGUAUAUCUCUAGUGUUGCCCCUAUUUUAUAGAUGACAAAACCUUACUGAUAUCUGUAUAGCUAGUAAGUAGGAGAGACAGGAUUCAAUCUGUCAGCCCAACUCUGCCGGUGCCCGUGUCCCUGCUCUGUGAUCCUGACAGGCAGCCACAGCCAGGAGUCCGUCCUUGUUUUAGAUAUUUCCCAUGUCUGCUGCUCAACUAGACCCUAACGGUGGAUUCUUGGUACAUCCUUACCCAAGGAUAACCCAUAAGUUUUCAUGACAUUACCACGGACUCGUCUUGCUUGUGAAACCAAGUAAUAGUAAAAACAGAAGAAUCAUGUGUUAAAAAUUUUUUGAAGUAAAUGAUUCUGUCAUCAUUAUUCUUAAAGAAAGUGAUGUACCCAAGGUCACACACUUAGUCACUGGUCAGUCCUGGGGCAAACACCCCUUGAUGUCCAGCCCUUGAGUCAGGAUGAUUGCUUCAUCUAGAAGGCACCAUGGGCACUCUGCCUGAAUCCAGGAACCUCUGGAGUUGUAUAUGGCUCUGUCCAAGACAAAGGAAUCCGCUGUACCAGAUCCACAGAAGCCCUGGCUCUAAAUUAAAAACAGCACAACAACAACAUUGCAGCAACAACAAAAUAGUAAUACAAUAAAAGGUGGGAAGACCUCGAGAGCAUAAAAAUUUCCUUAAACUGAUCAUCAAGGAAAGGAAAGGGAGGAUUCCUUCUUUAAAGAGGCAAGUGCCUGCCAGCAGGAACCUAAAACUCAUUAUUAUUCUGUAUUUUCUUUUUUCAUGACUAAAAAGUUUUUCUAUCCUCCCCCUUCCUAUCCCUAUCAAAAGACUACCCCCUCCACAAGACAAUCACAAACUUUAAAAGUAGCAAGCCCUCACUUCAAACAAAAUGUAAAAAUAAAAAUUCAAAAACCCAUAGUGUUUGCAAAACAGCUUUGUAUGGAGGAAGGGCAAAUCUUAUCUUAAGAGAGGCUAAUUUCAUAGGAAUCGGGCAAAGAGAGGAGAGGUAGAAAGGGUGGGAGCACAGAAGAAGGGGAGGCGGGAGAGGAGGGGAUAAAGGAGGAAGAAUCGCUGGCUUUAAAAAGCAACAUUGUCCAGAGAGGUGAAAG